UACGGAGGGUGCAAGCGUUAUCCGGAUUCACUGGGUUUAAAGGGUGCGUAGGCGGCUUAAUAAGUCAUUGGUGAAAGCUCGCAGCUCAACUGCGAAACUGCCCAUUGAAACUGUUUAGCUUGAAUGUGGUUGAAGUGGGCGGAAUACAACAUGUAGCGGUGAAAUGCUUAGAUAUGUUUUUAGAACACCGAUUGCGAAGGCAGCUCACUAAGCCAAUAUUGACGCUGAGGCACGAAAGCGUGGGUAGCAAACAGG
rnacentral:rRNA from 1 species